UUUUUCUUUUUUUUCUCUUACACAUACAUCAUGUACAUCUCUGUGGCUUAGAACUUGGGUUUGUUCACUGCCUGUCCAGGGCUUAACAACAGGAUGCCAGAUUCCCAGCUAUUUACAAUGCUUGACACCCACUGCCUGCCUAAAUGUCAAUUAUAAUGAAACAGAAGAAGAAACAUGGUGUGGAGAUCUUUUUGAGUGAGCUUUCUAGAUUAUUGUGUCUUGUUUUUCACAAGGGGUUGUCAUCUUUCAUCACAGUGUCCAGUAAUCAGUCUUAUCCAUCUUUUGGUAUGUCCCAUCAGCAUUCUGUUCAGAUUCUAAUCAGCUUUUAAACACUAAAUUGUAUCAAUUUUAAACAUGCCUUUUGUAUUGCUAAGAAAAGGAUGUUUAGAGUGAAACAAACACACACAGAGCCCUACAGAACAUAUCCCUACUUUGGGCUGCUGCAUUGUUCCUCCAUGCAAGUCCCAAACAGCCUCUCUGUGACUAACAUUGCCAUGGCCUGAUUUACACACAGAUUUAGUAUCUGCAACUCAUUAUCAUAUUUAAACUUCUGGGUGGCUCGACUCAUUUGAGAAAUUGGACCUAACAGCAUUCUACACAGAAAAAGAUAUAAGUACCUAUUAACCUGUAGCAAUUUACCAUAGCAUUUAUAAAGAUAUGAAUAACGUGCAGAGUCAUGCACAUCUUACUAAUGCAGACUGAAUUAUUCAUUGCAAAGCUGGACAAUUUUUAUCAAAUACUUAUUAUGGAUAAAUAUUUUCCUUAUUCAGUACCUUGAUGUAUGUUUGAAUAACACCUUGCAAAUAAUUCUUCAUGCAAGUGCUUCACUGAAACUUUAGCUCUUUCUUCCUUUGAAUAGUUAUUUCCAAAUCAAUUUCCUUUGUGUUAUUUAUUCAUUACAAAUGAAUAAAUGGUAUUCAUGGAGAUUGUUUCUCUCUAGGCUAAUAAACAGACUUCAUGUUAGCCCCCAAGUACUUGUAAUCUCAGCUUCAAAUGUGCAAACUCUUCCACACAGUGGAUCUCUAGGCUAUCACAAUAUUUCUGGCAUCAACAUGGAGAUUAAAAAAACACAGGAAACCAAGGAAAAGUGACUCGAAAGUUCAAAAGAUGAAGUCAAUGCAUAUGUAUUGGUUAUAUGUCUUUAUUCCAUUGACUGUCAUUCUUAAUGCUGGUUUUGAUUUUUCUGCCCUUUUCUUCCUUUAAUGCAGGAAUACACUAAAUCUUGUAUUUUCUUGUGUAUUUAUUUGAGAUUUAUCAGUUUAUAUUUGCUUCCAAUUAGUUCUCAAUUUCUGAUUAAAUGCUGCUCUUGCAGGGACUGUAAAUACAAAAACUUUAUAAAUAAUUCUCCAGCCAUGCAAAUAUUCUCCAAGACCGAACCCCAAGGCAAGCAGGUGCUACUUCAGUUUUCUCUCCUAUAAUUUUCAAAUAUAAGCACACCAAGACCAUGAACAAAAUUCACAUUUGUCAUCAGUGGCCAAAUCAGGACAGCCCUGGUAUUUUGUGGUGCAAAACCCUGUGGACUUCUAAAGUUUCAGGGAAAGUAUUUUUUCUUAUAAAUUAUAGACAAGAUUGCAUACCAUGAGAUAAAAUGUGGCCAGUGACUCCCAGCUCCUGGAGGCACAGGCUGGCUUGUGUCCAUAAGGAUCUCUUAGAAAAGGCAUGCACACAUUGCAGGACGGCCCUUCUUAUUGUGAGACAUCAUUGUUACUGUCAUUAUUACUGUUGUUACUGCUGCUGUGGUAAUGCCAGCAACAGGGAGCUGCCUUUUUUCAAAUGCACCCUGUGAAAUAAUAUGGUGCCUGUGCUGCAGCCCUCUGGAGCAAGGCUUUGACAGGUUAUGCUGUUGGCCUGGCAUGGGGUAUGCAGGAACUUGGGGGCUCUGGGUGACACUGGAUAACCAGCCAAGGUGAUGGGGAGUCACACCUGGCAGAGUUAGGAGGGAUAUUCUGAAAUCAUGUUCCUGAACCAAGCUGAAAUGCUGGUGCAGGUGCACCCUACAGUGUGUGCACAGAUGUUACUCUACCCUGCAGCAGAUCAAGCUCCCUUCUGCCAGAAUGAAAUGCUACUUUAAAAAUGCUUUUAGCUGCAAAGUGGCAUUACUGCUUCUUCCCAGUAAUGAGGCUAUGGCAAACCAUUUACUAGCAUUACAAUUUACCUGUACUCAGCUUUGCACUUGCAUUUGCUGAUCACUGCAGCUGAAGCAAAAGAAAAUAAACACAUUGAACACAUGCACAAAUUACUUAAAUAUAAUGCACAUUAUUACUAUUUUGUCCUCAAAAUAAAUAAGAAAA
rnacentral:lncRNA from 1 species